rnacentral:tRNA from 1 species
UGGCUCAGUUGGUAGAGCAUGGUGUUUGCAACGCCAGGGUUGUGGGUUCAAUUCCCAG